CAUGUUGCUUGAUUUUGGGAAGAACAUACAGAGGAAACGUACAUCUAGGACAUUUGUGAGAGCUAGUUAAAAUGUAAUGAAAAAAAUUCAAUAUAUAGCAAAACAUUUUAUAUAUGUACCUUUUUUUCAAUAUCUCUUUUUUGCUCUCACAUCAAUUACUUCAUUUCUGAAAGUGGUGCUUUAAGCUCCUUAAGCAUAUCAAUCUGGUGCAUAUUUUUCUACAACCAUCAAGUUUGGUUCUGCUGUAACAUGAUGCAGCGUGGAUGGAGUUAUGAUGUGUUUCUGAGUUUCAGAGGUGAAGACACCAGGAGAACCUUCACAGGCUCUCUUUAUCAUGGUUUGCGCCAAAGGGGUAUCAAUGUUUUCAUAGAUGAUGAGGAGCUUAGGAGAGGAGAAGAGAUAUCCCUAGCUCUUCUUCAAGCAAUUGAAGAAUCCAGAAUUUCCAUCAUUGUGUUUUCUGAAAACUAUGCAAAUUCCAAAUGGUGCCUUGACGAGCUUGUUAAGAUCCUUGAGUGUUGGAAAACAAAGGGGCAAUUGGUUUGGCCAGUUUUCUACCAUGUUGACCCUUCCUCGGUACGGCAUCAGAGAGAAAGUUUUGGUACUGCAAUGGCUGAACAUGAAGUCAGGUUCAAGGCUGAUUUGGGAAAGUUGCAAAAGUGGAAAGAAGCUUUGUUUGAUGCAGCCAAUUUGUCAGGUUGGAGCUUAAAUAAUGGGUAUGAAUUUGAGCUUAUCCAAAGGAUCAUUGAAGAGGUCUCUAACAAAUUAAAUCACACCCUUUUGCAUAUUGCUGAAUACCCAAUUGGACUAGAGACUCGCAUAUCAGAAGUGAAGUCACUUUUGCACAUUGAACCUGGUGAAGAUAUUCUUGUCAUUGGAAUCCAUGGACUUGGAGGAAUUGGCAAAACAACAACAGCAAGGGCUUUAUACAACUCCAUUGCUGAUGAGUUUGAAGUUGCAAGUUUCCUUGCUGAUAUAAGAGAAACUUCAGACCAACGCCAAGGCUUGGUGCAACUUCAAGAAGCACUUCUUUUUGAUACUGUCGGGGACAAGAACAUUAAGCUGGGGUAUGUUUAUAAAGGAAUCCCCAUUAUAAAGAAAAGGUUAUGUCGCAAGAAAGUGCUUUUGAUUCUUGAUGAUGUUGACAAAUUGGAGCAGCUGCAAGCAUUGGCCGGAGGGCGUGAUUGGUUUGGUCUUGGCAGUGUGAUAAUCAUAACAACAAGAGAUAAGCACUUGCUAGCUGCUCAUCAAGUUGACAAAACAUAUGAAAUAAAGAAACUAAACCAUGCUGAAGCUUUUGAGCUUUUUACAUGGAAUGCUUUCAAAAGGACAGCACCUGAUGAGGGCUACAUGGAGAUUUCAAACCGGGUGGUGCUCUAUGCUGAGGGACAUCCAUUGGCUUUGAAAGUAAUGGGGUGUAAUUUGUUUGGUAAAACAGUGGAACAAUGGAAAUCUGCUCUGGACAAAUAUGAAAAAAUUCCCAAUAAAGAGGUUCAGAGUGUGCUUAGAGUAACCUAUGAUAAUCUAGAAGAGAAUGAGAAGGAAAUUUUCUUGGAUAUUGCAUGUUUCUUCAAGGGGGAGACAAUGGAAUAUGUUGAAAAGACACUGCAAGCUUGUGGUUUCUAUCCAAAAUUUGGUGUUAGUGUACUUAUUGAUAGAUCUCUUGUAAGUGUUGAUGAAUAUAGCAGAUUGAGAAUGCAUGAUCUGAUACAAGACAUGGGUAGAGAAAUUGUUAGAGAAGAUUCCCCAUUAGAGCCUGGAAAGCGGAGUAGACUAUGGUAUCAUGAAGAUGUUUUUGAAGUACUCACUGAAAAUACGGGGACUUAUAAAAUUCAAGGCAUGAUGGUGGACCUCCCUGAUCAAUAUAUGGUACACUUGGAAGGUGAUUCCUUCAAAAGGAUGAAAAAUCUAAAAAUUCUUAUCGUUCGAAAUGGACACUUUUAUGGAAGCCCCCAACAUCUUCCAAACAAUUUAAGGUUGCUUGACUGGAUGGAAUAUCCUUCAUCAUCUUUACCAUCAAGUUUUCUUCCAAAGAAACUAGUAGUACUCAACUUGUCUCGUAGUCGUUUCACAAUGCAGGAGCCAUUCAAGUAUUUGGAUUCUUUGACCUCGAUGGAUUUGAGUCACUGUGAGUUCUUAACAAAGCUACCUGACAUUUCUGGUGUCCCAAAUUUAACAGAACUGAAUCUUGACUUUUGUACAAAUUUAGCAGAAGUUCAUGAUUCUGUUGGAUUCCUAGACAAACUUGUUGAGUUGAGGGCUUAUGGAUGCACCAAACUUGAGGUUUUCCCAAGUUCCAUCAGGUUGACAUCACUGAGAAGUCUUAUUCUUAAUUGGUGCUCAAGUCUUCAAAGUUUCCCAACAAUUUUGGGAAAAAUGGACAAUCUCAUAUCCGUUUCUAUUGAAGGUACUGGUAUAAAAGAAUUGCCUCCUUCCAUUGGAAAUCUUGUUGGGCUUGAAGAAUUAAGCAUGACAUCUUGCUCAAGUCUCAAGGAACUUCCUGACAACAUUGAUAUGUUACAAAAUCUUAGAAACCUUGACAUUGAAGGCUGUCCAAGUUUUUUGACAAAAUUGAGAGAAUUGGGACACUCUACCCUUACCUUUGGUAACAUUCAGUCUCUGAAUCUAGAAAACUGUGGCCUUAUAGAUGAGGAUCUUCCCAUAAUUUUCAGUUGUUUCCCAAAGUUAGCAUCAUUAGUUCUUUCAGGAAAUAAUUUUACAGCUCUUCCAAGCUGCAUGGCAGAAUUUCCUGGCUUGGAAUUACUUCACUUGGACAACUGCAAACAACUCCAAGAAAUUCCAGGCAUUCCUCCCAAUUUACAAUACAUUAAUGCAAGAAACUGCAUAUCAUUGACAGCAGAGUCAUCAAAUUUGUUACUAAGCCAGGAAAUGUUUGAGGCAUGUCAGUUACAAGUUAUGGUCCCUGGAACACGAAUUCCAGAAUGGUUUGAUCACAUCACCAAAGGAGAAUAUAUGACCUUUUGGGUAGGCCAAAAUUUUCCAGCACUGAUAAUAUGCUUUGUUCUUGCAAUAGAGAGUGAAAUGAAGAAGAGCUUCAAUUGCGAAAUCCGCUUUUAUAUAAACAGUGAAGAAGUUUAUGAGUUGGAAAUGCCAAGAUGCUUUUCAGGAAUGGUGACAGAUCAUGUAUGGGUGUAUGACUUAAGAACUCAUCCAUCCAUCCAGAGGCAUCAUCUUGAUUCAUAUUUAGUGGAAGGUUGGAAUCAGGUGGAGAUUUCAUGUGAGAAAAUAAGUGGAGCAUCAAAUGUGACUGUGAGCUUGUGUGGAGUUCAUGUGUGUAAGGAUGAAGCUAACAUGAAGGAUAUCCUAUUUAAAGAUCCUGAUCCUGAUUCAGACUUAAGCAGAGACUCUGAGGAGAUCAGUACUGAUUUGGUCACAACCAAUGAAGAAAGCACAAAGUCAAUUGAAGAUUUCCAAUACUGCAAGAGAUUAGAUGAUAGCUGCCAUAAUAAUUUCAAUAAUUUGGAAGUUUGGUGUGAGACACAGGAUAGUGUUGCUGAAGAUUCAAUUGCUUCAGUAGUCAGUUCAGAGUGUCCGGGGGGCACAGAUAGUGUCAAAGAGUGUGGAUCCAACUUUGUACCUACUAAUCAUCCAGCUAAAGCUCAACCAAAACCCCAAGUCACAAGUUUUAUACAAACGCCAAGUGUCAAGGAAUCAAAUACUGCUAUUGACAUUUUAACAACCAGUUUAACAAUAGAUGAUUUGGACAUGGAGGCAUUUUAUGCUAAUCUGGAUGCUGAGACCACAGUUCCUUCACCUCUCAAUGACACCAGAAUGGUUCCGGAAUUGUCCAACAGAAUGCCACCAAGUGAAGAGACCCAGGAAGCAUUGAAGACACUUCAAGACUUUCUCACCAAAGACCUUUCUGUUCUGUUGGAACCUCAUCAGCACACUACCAUGAAAGCUACCUUAGACUAUCUCACCAAUUUACCAGCACAAGAAGGAAUACCAGUGGACACAAGGUCACUGAUAAUAGAGGUUUCAAGACAGUUCACUUGUUGGAGUUUGGAUUACACAGAAGAAAGUAGGAAAAUAGAGUCUACAACAGCCAAAUUGCUGAAAGCUGAUGAACUUAAAGAAGGUCUUGAAGCUAACAAGAACUGUUUCAGGGAAGUCAUGUACUUGGAAAAUGAGUUGUGCAAUGAGUUGGCCUAUUUGGAGGAAAGAAAGAAGGAGCUAGAAGAACUGAUAAAUACUGUCAAAGCUAACAUCUCUGCUUCACAAGAGGCCAGGAACAUGGCUGUUCAUACAAAGAGAGAAAUCUUUGGGGAAGCAAGGAUUUUAAAAGCUCAAAGAGAUGAGUUAGGGGAACAUGUACCAGGAUUGAGAAAGUUUGUAUCUUGAGAAAUGACGUUUUUAGUCCACUACCGUUACAUCUGCUAGGGUUUUGGGCUUCGAUCGUCCUCAUCAUUCUCUAUACGUGAACAACUUGGCAUCGACUGCUUCUUCUACAACACUUCCCAAAAAGCAGUGGAGGAAACUUUGGAAGUUGGAUACUUUUCGAGGUUAAAAGAAACAGUGUGGAUGACUUGUCUUGAGCUUAUUUCAGUGCGUGCUUUUCUUGAUUGUCGUGGUAUUGAUCUGAACCAUUAUUGUCCUUGGUGUGCUUCAGAGCUUGAAACUGUUCAACACACUUUGUUGUUCUAUAAUGCUAGGAAUUGUUUUCUCUUCCAUAAGGACUUGAUCAGUUUAUGGAUUCUACGCUCCAACGUGCUACUUCGUUGCGUCCUUUUCUCGUGGCAUCGCAGACAACCACUUUUCCUCAUUCUCCAGCGAUUCGAGGGCUUUGUUGGCGUCUUUGCUGGGGAGUUUACAAGCUCAACUUUGACACAUUUGUUUCAAAGGUGAGCUUGCCAUAUUUUCGGUGUGUUGUUCGUGAUUUUAACAACGAUGUGUUGGCAACUGUGACUUCACCUGCAACUAAUGUCCUUUCACUAGCCAUUACUAAAGAUCUUUUGUUCAGAUUGUCCUUUGCAUUGGUUUCAGAACUUGUCUAAAAUUACAUAUAGGUGGUAGGGGCCGCGUUAUUGAUGUGAAAUGGCUCCACAAAAAGGGGGGUCUUUGGUUUUAUCAACUUUGCUGUGAGACAGAUUAUCUCCAA